rnacentral:rRNA from 1 species
CACGUAGGGCGCAAGCGUUGUCCGGAAUUAUUGGGCGUAAAGAGCUCGUAGGCGGUCUGUUGCGUCCGCUGUGAAAACUCGGGGCUUAACCCCGAGCCUGCAGUGGAUACGGGCAGACUAGAGGUAGGUAGGGGAGAAUGGAAUUCCCGGUGUAGCGGUGAAAUGUGCAGAUAUCGGGAGGAACACCGGUGGCGAAGGCGGUUCUCUGGGCCUUACCUGACGCUGAGGAGCGAAAGCGUGGGGAGCGAACAGG